rnacentral:rRNA from 1 species
UACGUAGGUGACCAGCGUUGUCCGGAUUUACUGGGCGUAAAGAGCGCGCAGGCGGUCGUUCAAGUCGAGUGUGAAAGCCCCCGGCUCAACUGGGGAGGGUCAUUCGAUACUGAUCGACUGGAAGGCAGGAGAGGGAAGCGGAAUUCCCGGUGUAGUGGUGAAAUGCGUAGAUAUCGGGAGGAACACCAGUGGCGAAGGCGGCUUCCUGGCCUGCUCUUGACGCUGAGGCGCGAAAGCUAGGGGAGCAAACGGG